AGCUCCGUGGUGAAGAACAUAUUAGAUUGCAAAUCUGAAGACGCAGAUUAACGUCUGCCGGGGCUU
rnacentral:tRNA from 2 species